CAGCAGCCGCGGUAAUACGUAGGGUGCAAGCGUUAAUCGGAAUUACUGGGCGUAAAGCGUGCGCAGGCGGUUUGUUAAGACAGAUGUGAAAUCCCCGGGCUCAACCUGGGAACUGCAUUUGUGACUGGCAAGCUAGAGUAGGGCAGAGGGGGGUGGAAUUCCGCGUGUAGCAGUGAAAUGCGUAGAUAUGCGGAGGAACACCGAUGGCGAAGGCAGCCCCCUGGGCCAAUACUGACGCUCAUGCACGAAAGCGUGGGGAGCAAACAGGAUUAGAUACCCCGGUAGUCCCUGUCUCUUAUAC
rnacentral:rRNA from 1 species